AUCAUUACAGAGUUAUCCAACUCCCAAACCCAUGUGAACUUAUCUCUUUGUUGCCUCGGCGCAAGCUACCCGGGACCUCGCGCCCCGGGCGGCCCGCCGGCGGACAAACCAAAACUCUUGUUAUCUUAGUUGAUUAUCUGAGUGUCUUAUUUAAUAAGUCAAAACUUUCAACAACGGAUCUCUUGGUUCUGGCAUCGAUGAAGAACGCAGCGAAAUGCGAUAAGUAAUGUGAAUUGCAGAAUUCAGUGAAUCAUCGAAUCUUUGAACGCACAUUGCGCCCAUUAGUAUUCUAGUGGGCAUGCCUGUUCGAGCGUCAUUUCAACCCCUAAGCACAGCUUAUUGUUGGGAACCUACGGCUUCGUAGUUCCUCAAAGACAUUGGCGGAGUGGCAGUGGUCCUCUGAGCGUAGUAAUCUUUUAUCUCGCUUCUGUUAGGUGCUGCCCCCCCGGCCGUAAAACCCCCAAUUUUUUCUGGUUGACCUCGGAUCAGGUAGGAAUACCCGCUGAACUUAAGCAUAUC
rnacentral:rRNA from 1 species